rnacentral:rRNA from 1 species
UACAGAGGUCUCAAGCGUUGUUCGGAUUCAUUGGGCGUAAAGGGUGUGUAGGUGGCGCGCUAAGUCGGGUGUGAAAUUUCGGAGCUUAACUCCGAAACUGCAUUCGAUACUGGCGUGCUUGAGGACUGGAGAGGAGACUGGAAUUCACGGUGUAGCAGUGAAAUGCGUAGAUAUCGUAAGGAAGACCAGUGGCGAAGGCGGGUCUCUGGACAGUUCCUGACACUGAGACACGAAGGCCAGGGGAGCAAACGGG